CAGGCCUGCAGAAGGGGAGGCAGCCGCCCUGUCUGGAGCACGUUGGCCAGGAGCCUUCACAGGAGCAGCAAGCCGUGUCCCAGACAGGGUAACCUACAGAGUGUGCAACGGAGAAUGAACGCUAAUGUCAACUACAGACUCUACUAAAAAAUGUAUGAAAAUUAGCCGGGCGCAGUGGAGCACGCCUAUAAUCCCAGCGGCUCGGGAGGCUGAGGCAGGAGGAUCACGAGUUUGAGAUGUCAGCUACCUACCUGUCUAGCUGAUUCCUAGAGAUGGAAACCACUCGCCUUCAAACGGACUCACAUGCAAACCUUCCAGAGCCCACACCCCAACACCUCUGUUAUCAGGCUCACACUGGACCAUGGUCCACCGGUCCCCCAUCACCCCAGGAACAGACCUCCGGAAGCCCACCACACCCGAAGCCCACUAAAACUACUCAGGCUGGCCAGCUAGGCUUCUCACCUGGCCUCUGCCGUUUCUCCCUUCCCAUGGAAACAGUUAAGACCCCCACCCGGGCGCCCCUGCUCUCGCCCUCUGCCUGCCCUCCCUGCAUGGGCCUGUGUGGUAAGACCUGGCCACCUCUUGAGCCCCAGCAAGGGCGUCCCCCUCCGUCUGUUGGCCUCCUCACACCUGCAUAAGAAUCAGACAUGCGUUGUAAGCAGGGCCAACCCAGGGCCCAGCACGGGGCCCAGCACUGGGCAGCUUGUCCACCUCGGGUUGUUUUCAGGGCCACAGCAAGAGAAGCAAAGAGAAGUGGGUUCACCACAGACUCAGCCAGAUCCGUGCCCUCUGCCUUCCUAGACCACAGGACGGGGGACGAGCCCCUCUCCUUUGUUCCCUGGUGAGUAAACUGAGGCCCAGACAGGGGACACUUUGCCCAAGGCGUCAGGCCAGCGAGUGGAAGCCACAGAAGCCAGCACAGGAGCCCCGCUGAGUCCCAUGCCCCACCUCCCAGCUGGGCAGAGGGGGUGCAGCCACCCACAGCCACCCAUUUUCACCCAAGCUCCCCGAGGCCCGGCCCAGGCCAGGCAGGUCACCUUCCUGCCUGCUCCUCAGGGCUGGGGCUCUCCUUAUGGGGUCCUCUAAGCGGGUGGAGAGGCGGUGAAGUUAUCAAGAAGUGCUCAGACCGGCAGCGGGAGAAAUAAAUAAAUAACCGCUUAAGUAAACAGCAA